rnacentral:lncRNA from 1 species
CGAGCCAAGCAGGUGUGUGGCAGACAGUGUGCGUGAGGCAGUGAUCGUGGAAGGACGUCUCGCUCUUCGCCUCAGUUGGGUUCUGUGUGAGUGUGCCGUGCGUGCUGCCGACCCUUGGCGCAUUCGGUAAAGAGAAGAACGUAACAAAGGAAGACGGGAAGUGAAGAAGAGCAGAAUAGAAAGAAGAAUAAGGGAAGAAAUAGCAAAGCCUGUCGACCACUGAAGGGAAAUCGACGUAUUCUUGAAUAUGAGCCAAAAAAUGAGACAAGAAUAAAACAAAAAAACAUCGAGCCAAUAACUACACGCGCUCCGGAAAAUCUCGAUUCUGAUUGGCCAACGAGGAUCCUCUCCGUCGAAACGCCGCUUCUGAUUGGCUGGGAGCUCUGAGAUGAUCAUCAUGAGGGAGGAAGAUCUCGAAAUCGCCAUU